rnacentral:misc_RNA from 1 species
CUCCAUUUCUCUCAAUCCAAACAUAGGGUUAAGUUUUAUUCAUCCUAAUAAAAUUUUAUAAUCCCAUCGGACUUUUUAUGUAAAACUGAAGGGGCAAAACCUAUACCGACUCUACCUUCUAAGAUUAGCAAGGCCAGACAUGACUCAUACUAGCUAACAAUGAUAGCCCACAUCAUCUAUAUAUAAUUUAAAAUCACUAAAUUUUCAUCAAGUAGUUAAACAAUCAUUUUCUGGUCUUUUCUUUCCCAUUGCGCAAAAAGGAUCCCAAACCAAAGAAAUUUGCAGCUCCUUUAGUAAUGUAAGGAGGUGGCACGUUCAGCACAGGACUGAUCUUAACACCAUUUCCAUGAGAUCCACCGUAGUUUUUCUUCAAUGGAGGCUUCUGUGGAAAUGUGUACACAUAAGUAGAACCAGAUGAUGCUGAUAACUUCUUUGCCUUGGAAUUUAAUCUUUGCUCCUUCUGGGAAUUUUGCUUGUUCACAUCUUUAAACAUUGCUCGGUUCGGAUACGGCACGGAUGAUCCUGUCGAAUUGCUUCGCGACAGGAGUGGUAAAGAGCAAAUUAGCCUCUUCUUUAUAUCACAAUUCAGACUGCUGCUUCUCUUGAAUCCCCAGAAUGAUUUGGACUGAGGCUUUUCCAAUAACCCUGAAUUCGAAACCAUGAUUUCCAUUAUUUCUUUCUUUGAACUCUCAUUAGCACUUGGAGGAGGACAUGGAAGAGAAGGAAGAGAAACUUUUCUUGAAUGUUCAUGUCUCUGUCCUUGGGCUGGAAGGAUCAUACCAUCUGCGAAAAGCUCAUCUGCCAGAGAAGAUUCAUAGUCUAACACGUUGCUGCAAAUGCUGAAUUCGAAAUCAGAAUUUGAUUCCAGGAGUGUGGUGUCCCUUCGAGGCUCGUGCUCGAUUUGUAUGCCAUCUUCUUGGCCAAGAUCACUGGAGAAUGAUAUUCGAGGGCUUGUUUCUGAGCACAUACUAAUUACUUGUUAGCUACACUCAAUUGCAAAACAAAAGAAAAUGGCAUCAGCAGUGAAAGUAAUCAGGACUGGAGAGAGCUUUUAAAAGACUGUAUUCAUUAAAUUAGUUCAAGAAUCGAUGGAGAAAAUAUUCAAAGACGAUGGGCUGAGAUUUUGUCUGGCAAAGUUUGAUUAGACUAGGAAGUCAAAAAAGAUAACAGAAAAUUCUGAAAUUUAAAAGAAUAAGGAGGAACAAAGAAAGAAAUUCAGCUUUUCUGCAGGUCCAACAAAUAUGAGAGAUGAUUCUAAGAAAAUUCAAGGAUCAGAGGCAGAAUGUUCUUCUCUGAACUGAAGCAGAGAGCAGAAGGGUGUUGUCUGCCACCGUCAGAGCAAAUAAAGAAAGAAGAAAGAGGAAAAGAAGUAUGAGAGAGGGUUGAACUAAGAAACAAAAAGAGGACAAGAAAUACUGUGUAGGCUAAAGGGAAGACUACGCGUCUACGCCCAUAAGAUGAGCG